rnacentral:rRNA from 1 species
AUUGAACGCUGGCGGCAGGCCUAACACAUGCAAGUCGAACGAGUGGCGGACGGGUGAGUAAUGUCUGGGAAACUGCCUGAUGGAGGGGGAUAACUACUGGAAACGGUAGCUAAUACCGCAUACCAUCGGAUGUGCCCAGAUGGGAUUAGCUAGUAGGUGGGGUAAAGGCUCACCUGGGCGACGAUCCCUAGCUGGUCGGAGAGGAUGACCAGCCACACUGGAACUGAGACACGGUCAAGACUCCUACGGUAGGCAGCAGUGGGAAAGAUUGCACAAUGAGCGCAAGUCUGAUGAGGCCAUGCCGCGGGUAUGAAGAGGGCCUUCGGGUUGUAAAGUACUUUCAGCGGGGAGGCGUUACCCGAAGAAGAAGCACCGGCUAACUCCGUGCCAGCAGCCGCGGUAAUAC